rnacentral:lncRNA from 1 species
UGUCUGCUCUAUGGUCAGGUUGUUGUCUCUUUGUCACAUUCCCCAAUUCCAUUCUCAAUUUUAGUACAGUAAAAAAACCAUUCCGCUUACAUGUUUAACCCCGCUCAAUUUGUAUGUGUGUGCAGUGUGUCUGUCUCAAGUCAGGAGCUCGUAAUUCAGUGGUUAUCGUUUGUUGAUGUGUUACAUAUUGUUUUUCGUUCAUUUUUUUGUACAUAAAUUAAGCCGUUAGAUUUCUCGUUUAAAUUGUAAUUUCGGGGCCUUUUAUAGCUGACUACGUGGUAUGGGAUAUGCUCAUUGUUGAAGGCCGUACGAUGAUUUAUAGUUGUUAAUAUAUCUGUCAUUUGAUCUCUUGUGGAUAGUUGUCUCAUUGGGAAUCAUACUGCAUCUUAUUUUUUAUAUUUACUAAUUAUAAAUACAUUCACAAAAGUUUAAAUUAUUCAGUGAGAGAACAUGAUCUUUAUAGCGGAAAGUGAAGUUGAAACACAAU